ensembl:lncRNA
GAACUUGAUGCUCAGGUGGUGAGAUUGUGGGCUGGCGUGGGGAGUGAAGGGAGUGACCAGGAGUUGUGGCACCUGGAUUUCUGCCACCAGCUUACCAGUGACCUUGGGCUCCAGGAGAAGUUGUGCUGAAUUCCAUUCCCGUGCAGCUUCCGCGCUGCUGACAAGCCGGGUGCCCACACACCUGGGGAGAGCACAGCAUCGGUUACCUGAGACCUUCCUCGUUUGCACCAAGUUUGAGCUGACAAAUCCUACAAGUUCCUUUUUGUCGGGAGUAAAGCACUGAUUUCCUGCCUGCGGGAGGCCAAACUGGCACAUCUGUGUCAUACUGCUUAGCAGCUCACCUGGAAAACCCACUCAGGCCCUGAUGGGUACGACAUCAUUUCUGCUAUACUCUCUUGGUGGAAGGAGUCGAGAGCCCACCUGGAUUCAAAGGACUGGGACAGAGACCCCACCUCUCGAUGGGAGGAGUGUCGAGUGUUUGCAGCAGCUGCUGGAACCACCCUGACUGCGGCAGGGCAAAGAACGGGGUGGUGCCCCCCUGGACGCAGCCGCUGUGCUCCCUGCAGAGGCACCUCGCCACCGCCAAGAGCGACAAUCCCCUGCAAACUGCACCGCCAGCAAACUGCACCGCAGGCCUGCGUCGGGGGGCUCACGGCAGCCUGGUUCACAGACUCUCGGGAGAAAAAUUCCGACGUACAGGACCUGUUACCCAGCCGUGCAUCUCCUCACCUGCAGCAGGCAGGCUCUUGAGGAAUGAGACCUGGGAACUUCCGGAGGAGGCUGUGAAUGUGGCUGGAGGGUGUGAAGCUGUUCUGACUUUCACAGCGGAGUCUGUCCCACAAGAUGAGUCAGCGGGUGUCCAAAGCAAAGUUGCCCCUCCAACAUUCUGCGAGCCUGGGGCACCGAGCUGUCCGGGGGUCCUGAGCACCGGCCCUCGUCAGCAAGGCGGCCCUGUCUCUGCGGCGAGCACUGCGGCCUGCAGCGGCCAGGUGAAGACACGGAGGCCCCAAGAGGUGACACUACUUAGCAAAGGUCACCCAGCCACCCACCAGCACAUCUGGAUCUCAGACGCAGCGUUCUGGACUCUGGGUUCAGAACCUUUGAAGAAUAUGGUACAGUUAUGCUCACUGAUGGCUUGCCCAUGUCGCUUUUCCCGUGUGCUGUCAUGUAACAAAUUGACUUCAAAGAAUGCCUUCUAUGAAACAUUAGAAAUGAAGCAUGUUCUGUCAUCAGCUGAAAGCAUACGAUGUUCACAAGAACUGUGCUCGAUCGGAGAAUAUUUGGCUCUUGCAAGGUGUCCCCUUGUCCAGGAAGUCUUUCCCUGCAGCGCUGACAUCCAGCCUCGGUUUGACCUGAAGGUAAAGCUGGAGGGCGAGGAAAUGCCAUCCACUCGUCUUGAUGCUCAGAUGCUGAUGGUCUCUCUGCAGCCUUCCUGCGAUGCCCGAGUUUUCCUUCUGUCCUAGCAAUCUUAGCAGUGUCACCUCUGCUCGUUGACCCCAAACUAAACACAUGAAGAGGGCCUCGUCCACUUCUCUGUGCCUCAGAAUGCUGGGUCUUCCUCCUGCGGGGGCGCCGGCUGAUCCGUCCGUCUUGGGGACCGUCCCUGUGAAAGUCUCGUUGGUUCUUUCCAAGAACUCAUCAAGAGGGAAAACUUACAGUGGUACCAACGUGUAUUGUAACACAAUGCGAGGAAGGUUGACUCAAAGGGGCAUUUUCUAAUAGAAUUUCAGGCAAAAGAACGUGGUUAAAUGGAAAAACAUAGCUUUUAAAAGAAAAUGCUGUUAUGACUAUUGCUUUUUUAAAAAUCUGUAAAAUAAUAUUGUACAAAAAAUUGCUUCCUUUCCCAGUACGUGAACAGUCCCCAUGGAUAACAAAGUCACAUUUCCAAUCAUCCAACUCAUUCACUCAUUGCAAAGG